GCAUUAGUUCGCGUUUCAACGAUCCGCCAGUAUUAUUUAUAUUCGUCGUCUCCGCGGGAGUAGAGCAGGAGUAGAACCGGAGUAGAAACGUUUAUUCGUGGCUCGUCGCGAGCGUGAGUCACGCGAGAUUCGAGUCUUAUUUGUUGGACCGACGUUUUUUAAAAAAAAAAUCAAAGAAAUAGAAAUGAAGAGAGAAUCGGGAGAGGAUAACUCAACACUCUUAGGAGAGGAUGAUUGAAACACGCGAAAAAAGAAACUAGGACCAUUCUCGCUACCAAUCGAAGAGCAGACCAGAAUAUUAGAUGUUCGUAGAAAAUACGUUUCCAAGGUUUGAGAAUGCUUAAAUACCAAUGAUUCAAUCAUGCUGACGCGCUCGAGCCACGAUGAAUCGAACUUUUUUCCAGUAUCGUGACGUUGAUUCAACUAAUCUAUAGACCAGAGAUAAGUUUAAUUCUAUAUGCGUUUGUUUUGUAAGCGCAUCAAGCUCGUUGAAUUAAACUAUUAUAAGUUUCAAGGAUAAUUUCUUAAUAAAUACAAUCUCUCGAUAUUAAACGGAUUUAUGAUCGAUCUUGCCGGUUACAAUCUCAAUAACGAUAAAUCAUAGAGCAAUCGUUUAAACGUUUCUAUUGAUCUGAUUAGAAGAAAGGGAUGAAGAAGAAGAGUAGGAUGAAGAAAAGGCGCGCGGGCCAGUAUGAAAAACCGCGGCAAAUUCGAAAAGGCGAAGUAAGGAACGACAAAAAAAGACAAAAUUUAAACUCACCAUCCUCGUCCGGAUUUGUCACGAUAAGAUGAAACAGCAAAGCCGAACAUAGAAUUGAACUCUUUGCGAUAAAUCGCAUAGUGUUUAGUUUCGACGUUGAAAGCUUCGAUGGUGUUAGGUGGAGAACCAAUGAUAACGAAGAGGAAGACAAGUAAACCGAUAAAUAUUUUCGAAUACAUGUUUUCCAAUUGU
rnacentral:lncRNA from 1 species